GAGCUGUGGGACACCUGAGCAACCCGUGCCAGCUCUCUGCCAUCCUUCUCUGCAGGCCUGAGACUCCUGAGGUCAGAGGCCAUAGCAGGAUCCCAAGGGGUGCAGCCUGGAGCUUGGGCAGCAGCUUGACUCUAGGCAGCAGCUCUGGGCCCAGCCCAGGACCCAGCCCUGGGUCUGGCCACAGCCCCACAGCCAGGGUCAGCCUGCACUGCUGCCUGGAGCCCAGCUCAACAGUACAGACACCCCAGAGCCCUGCACAACUGUCCCAUUGCUAACCUGUGACCCCCUCCACCCGCCCUCCAGGAGUCACCAACCCCAAGUUCCCUGGCUGCCUCUCCUUUGACCAGGGAACUUUAGGGUCGCCCAACUGUCCCCUCACUCACCUAUGACCCUUAACCAACCCUGCUUCCCCCAGGGCCCUUCCCUGCACUCCGACUUCAGCCUCUAGGACUCAGCCUCCCUGCUGGAGACCCAGAGCUCUGCGGAACAGUUUGAGGAAGCUCUCAGCCAAGAUUCCAGCCCUGCAGGGGCUGCAGCGGCACACACACAGGGUUAUUCUGCUGGAGCCCCAGCUCUGCACCCGGUACUGAGCUGACUAGAGGAGGUCUCUUCUCCAGCCUGCAGAAGAUGGACCUGCUGGAGGAGAUCAUAGCAGAGCUACAAAAAGGAUGUCAGCUUGGAGAAAAGCCCAGCCUGAGCCCCACUCCUGACCUAGACUCCCAGGGUGCCCAUGGUUCCCUCUCUGCAGAUACCACCUCUCAGAGGCUCCCAGGAGUAACUCCUGCCUUGGUGCCUCCCCAAAAGGAAAUAGAAUGAUAAAGUGCCCCCUCUGUCUGUCUUCACUCACUGAGUUUGGCCCCAGCGCGACUUCAGCAGCCACAUUUUCACCAUUUUAUUCAUUAAUGUUGUCAGAUGGUUUAGUGGGGCAUGUGGGGAAAGAAGGGUAGGAGUUGUCCCCCCAUCCCCGUGCACAGGUCAGGACAUGCUGGGGGCUCCUGGAGGGAGAGGAGGAUAGGGUCAGCCUAGCCCCUCCCACCCCAGAUUUGUGCGAGGGCCCCCAGGAUGGAGGGUGGUGGGGGGAUGGGCAGACCCUUCAGUCCAGGGUAGGGAAGCUGAGAUUAUAGGUUAGGGACCCACAUCAGAAGCAAGUUACAAAGUUAGAAACCUGGGGUAGUGGUCGGGGUUCAAGAAAAUACAAAACAAGGGAUUUGGUUGGGCCAAGAUCCAGUGAGGGUGAAGGGAAGGAAGGACGG